GCAAACUUGGUCAUUUAGAGGAAGUAAAAGUCGUAACAAGGUUUCCGUAGGUGAACCUGCGGAAGGAUCAUUAAAGAUUUUGGGCUUUUAACCCGAUCGUUCAGCUGUGCGCCUUUUACCGGGCUGCACGCUGGAGCAAGACCCCACACCUGUGCACCUUUUCGGUUGCGGCUUCGGUCGCUGCCGCUUUUAAAUGCAACAACUCAGUCUCGAAUGUUAACAAAACCAUAAAAAAAGUAACAACUUUCAACAACGGAUCUCUUGGCUCUCGCAUCGAUGAAGAACGCAGC
rnacentral:misc_RNA from 1 species